rnacentral:rRNA from 1 species
CUACGGGCGGCUGCAGUGAGGAAUAUUGCACAAUGGGGGGAACCCUGAUGCAGCAACGCCGCGUGGAGGAUGACGCAUUUCGGUGUGUAAACUCCUUUUAUAUGUCAAGAAAAUGACGGUAGCAUAUGAAUAAGCACCGGCUAACUCCGUGCCAGCAGCCGCGGUAAUACGGAGGGUGCAAGCGUUACUCGGAAUCACUGGGCGUAAAGGACGCGUAGGCGGGUUGGAAAGUCAGGUGUGAAAUCCUACAGCUUAACUGUAGAACUGCACUUGAAACUUCUAAUAUAGAGUAUGGGAGGGGGAGAUGGAAUUAGUGGUGUAGGGGUAAAAUCCGUAGAUAUCACUAGGAAUACCUAAAGCGAAGGCGAUCUCCUGGAACAUUACUGACGCUAAGGCGUGAAAGCGUGGGGAGCAAACAGGAUUAGAUACCCGGGUAGUC